rnacentral:rRNA from 1 species
GACGAACGCUGGCGGCGUGCUUAACACAUGCGAGUCGAACGGAAAGGCCCUGUUCUUGUGGGGUGUUCGAGUGGCGAACGGGUGAGUAUCACGUGAGUAACCUGCCCUUGACUUUGGGAUAACUUCAGUAAACUGGGGCGAAAACCGGAUAUGAGCUCCUGCUGCAUGGGGUGGGUGGGAAAGUUUCGUCGGUUGGGGAUGGACGGGUGGUUUAUCAGCUUGUUGGUGGGGUAGUGGCUUACCAAGGCGUUGACGGGUAGCCGGCCUGGGAGGGUGACCGGCCACAUUGGGAUAGAGAUGGGACCAGGACUCCUACGGGAGGCAGCGGUGGAGGAUAGUGCACGCUAGGCGGAGGGCUGGUGCAACAGCGCCGCGUGCGGGAUGACGGCCUUCAGGUUGGAACGCGCUUUCGCCUGUGACGAAGAGUAAGUGACGGUAAUGGGUAAAGAAGCACCGGCUAACUACGUG